AUAGUACUCCCUCCGUCCGAAAAUAUUUGUCACCAAAACGAAUAAAAGGGGAUGUAUCUAGAUGUAUUUUAGUUCUAAAUACAUAUUUUUCGUUCAUUUUGAUGACAAGUAUUUUCGGACGGAGGUAGUACAAC
rfam:Triticum aestivum genome assembly, contig: Triticum_aestivum_CS42_TGACv1_scaffold_321272_4BL